UACGUAGGGACCAAGCGUUGUUCGGAUUUACUGGGCGUAAAGGGCGCGUAGGCGGUCGUGACAAGUCACUUGUGAAAUCUCCGGGCUUAACUCGGAACGGUCAAGUGAUACUGUCGGACUAGAGUACAGAAGGGGCAACUGGAAUUCUCGGUGUAGCGGUGAAAUGCGCAGAUAUCAGGAGGAACACCUGCGGCGAAGGCGGGUUGCUGGGGCUGACACUGACGCUGGAAGCGACGAAAGCUAGGGGAGCGAACGGG
rnacentral:rRNA from 1 species